rnacentral:rRNA from 1 species
GACGAACGCUGGCGGCGUGGAUUAGGCAUGCAAGUCGAACGGUAUGGACCUUUCGGGGUUCAGAGAGUGGCGAACGGGUGAGUAACACGUAGGUAAUCUACCCUCAAGACGGGGACAACCCAGGGAAACUUGGGCUAAUACCGGAUGUGUGUAGUGGCUAUUUUUCUGAUUAUCAUUAUUUACGUAAGUGAGUAAUAAUAAGAAGGGAAAGUGGUUAUUACAUAAAAGGUGGCGUAAGCUGCCGCUUGGGGAUGAGCCUGCGUCCUAUUAGUUAGUUGGUGAGGUAACGGCUUACCAAGGCGAUGAUAGGUAGGCGGCCUUAACGGGUGGUCGCCCACACUGGGAUUGAGAUACGGCCCAGACUCCUACGGGAGGCAGCAGUCGAGAAUAGUCUACAAUGGACGGAAGUCUGAUAGUGCGACGCCGCGUGAACGAAGAAUCCCUUCGGGGUGUAAAGUUCUUUUAUACGUGAGCAGUGUCCUUUAUAUUAAUAGUAUUAAGGGGAGAGAUAUUAGCGUAUGAAUAAGCAACGGCUAA